UACGUAGGGUGCGAGCGUUGUCCGGAAUUACUGGGCGUAAAGAGCUCGUAGGUGGUUUGUCGCGUUGUUCGUGAAAACCGGGGGCUUAACCCUCGGCGUGCGGGCGAUACGGGCAGACUUGAGUACUGCAGGGGAGACUGGAAUUCCUGGUGUAGCGGUGGAAUGCGCAGAUAUCAGGAGGAACACCGGUGGCGAAGGCGGGUCUCUGGGCAGUAACUGACGCUGAGGCGCGAAGGCCAGGGGAGCAAACGGG
rnacentral:rRNA from 1 species